CCUACGGGUGGCAGCAGUAGGGAAUAUUGGUCAAUGGACGCAAGUCUGAACCAGCCAUGCCGCGUGCAGGAAGAAGGUCCUCUGGAUUGUAAACUGCUUUUGUCCGGGAAUAAAUCUGCCCUACUGGGCAGUUGAAGGUACCGGGAGAAUAAGCACCGGCUAACUCCGUGCCAGCAGCCGCGGUAAUACGGAGGGUGCAAGCGUUGUCCGGAUUUAUUGGGUUUAAAGGGUGCGUAGGCGGCCUUGUAAGUCAGUGGUGAAAGACGGUAGCUCAACUAUCGAAGUGCCAUUGAUACUGCAGGGCUUGAGUACAGAUGAGGUGGUUGGAAUGAGUAGUGUAGCGGUGAAAUGCAUAGAUAUUACUCAGAACACCGAUUGCGAAGGCAGAUCACUAAGCUGUAACUGACGCUGAUGCACGAAAGCGUGGGGAUCAAACAGGAUUAGAUACCCCAGUAGUC
rnacentral:rRNA from 1 species